GAUCAUGGCUCAGGAUGAACGCUAGCUACAGGCUUAACACAUGCAAGUCGAGGGGCAGCAUUGGAGUAGCAAUACUCAGAUGGCGACCGGCGCACGGGUGAGUAACACGUAUCCAACCUGCCGCUUACUCGGGGAUAGCCUUUCGAAAGAAAGAUUAAUACCCGAUGGUAUAAAGAGUUCGCAUGUUCUCUUUAUUAAAGAAUUUCGGUAAGCGAUGGGGAUGCGUUCCAUUAGAUUGUUGGCGGGGUAACGGCCCACCAAGUCUACGAUGGAUAGGGGUUCUGAGAGGAAGGUCCCCCACAUUGGAACUGAGACACGGUCCAAACUCCUACGGGAGGCAGCAGUGAGGAAUAUUGGUCAAUGGACGAGAGUCUGAACCAGCCAAAGUAGCGUGAAGGAUGACUGCCCUAUGGGUUGUAAACCUCUUUUAUAAGGGAAUAAAGUGAGGGACGUGUCCCUUUUUGUAUGUACCUUAUGAAUAAGGAUCGGCUAACUCCGUGCCAGCCGCCGC
rnacentral:rRNA from 1 species